GGUCUGCAGAGUGCCCAGAAACGGGGGGGGGGUGCGGGCCUGGUCUGGGGAGAGCAUUCAGUCGGUACACCCCGCGGACUCCCGUGGGUCCCUCUCCCAAGGGUGCUGGCCGGAGAGCAGAGUCCCUUGGUGGGUGCCCAGGGCAGUGCCCCCGCUGAGGUCAGGGGGGUUUGGAGAGCCCACGCAUGUGACACUUGGAGACUGUAGGGAACGGGAGCAGGUCACUUCAACCCGGUGGACAUGGCAGUGGGCAGGAUGGUGUCCCUGUGGCUUGCAACUUGUCCCCGCACAGCAGCCUGCCUCUGCUCGGCCAUCUCCUCGAACCUGUCAGGGCCACUGUGCUGGCUCGGGUGGCCUCUUCUCUGUGCCCGUCCAGGCCCUCGUGCCCCCUCGCUGUGAGAAGAGGCCCCUCCGGCCCACUCUUGCCUCCUCCGUCCGCCCUGACUCCUCUGGACCCCCUCGUCUUAUUUUCCCCUUGAUAUUUUUCUUUGUCUGGAAAGCUCUGUAUGCUGAAAAGGCAGGAUUUCUCCGUGCCAUAUGCAACAGGAAGUGCCAGCACAGGACGGCCUGUCUUUGCUUCUUGGUUGAGAAGACUUUGUAGAGAGUCAUCUUGUCUGAAAUGUUUAAUUCAUUGCUGCAGGUUUUUAUGUUUUUGGAAGGAAAUUGCUCUUCUGUUGCCUACGGAACUAGCUUUGCUCCCACUUGCCCCACGCGCUUGGCCCAGUGGCCAAAACACAGAAAAGUCCUUCCUUCCCCCCACCCCGCUGUGCCUCCGGUGCCUCCAGGGGCCAGGCGGUCCUUACCGUCAUCCUUGUCUUUGCACUUCGAGCCUGAGCUGUGGCGGCCACGGACCCUCAUGGCGCAGAUCCUGGGGUGCAGGGGCCUGCUUGCUGGAGAACCCUAGGGCCAGAAAACCGACUGCCCUGCAGCGGAUGGGGGCGGGGGGGGGUCCCAUCCUUCCCCAAACAUGCCUUCAGGGACCUAGCCCCUGGCAGGUGAAAUCUGCUAGCACACCGGCCCCAGGAGCGAAACAAGCACCUGAAACCCACCUGGUCGCACAAGCUUAGCUCCAGCCUUGAGGAGAGGAUUGCAGUUAAAACCAGACCUCAGAUGCUCCCAUUUACCUGAAAACGGAAACCGGCUGAUGGAGUUCUCAUCGAGGAGCCUGACACAGGACUCACCUGCCGGCCGGGACCUGAGGCCGGGUGGGCUCCCAGGUGCCCGCGGUGCCCAGCACAGCGCAAAGCACCCCCUUGUCGGCGUGAAUCCACGCUCUUUGACCUGGGCUGAGUCCCUGCUAUCUGCCCUGGGAAACUGUUUAACCCGAGAGCUCAAAUUUAUAGGAAACAAAGUACCUUUCUAGUUAA